rnacentral:misc_RNA from 1 species
UGUCGUAACAAGGUAGCCGUAUCGGAAGGUGCGGCUGGAUCACCUCCUUUCUAAGGAUAUUAUACGGAAUAUAAGACCUUAGGUCUUAUAAACAGAACGUUCCCUGUCUUGUUUAGUUUUGAAGGAUCAUUCCUUCGAAACGUGUUCUUUGAAAACUAGAUAACAGUAGACAUCACAUUCAAUUAGUAACACAAGAUAUCACAUAGUGAU